rnacentral:rRNA from 1 species
AACGACUCUCGGCAACGGAUAUYUCGGCUCUCGCAUCGAUGAAGAACGUAGCGAAAUGCGAUACUUGGUGUGAAUUGCAGAAUCCCGUGAACCAUCGAGUCUUUGAACGCAAGUUGCGCCCGAAGCCAUUAGGCCNAGGGCACGUCUGGCUGGGUGUCACACAACG